AUUGAACGCUGGCGGCAGGCCUAACACAUGCAAGUCGAACGAGUGGCGGACGGGUGAGUAAUGUCUGGGAAACUGCCUGAUGGAGGGGGAUAACUACUGGAAACGGUAGCUAAUACCGCAUACCAUCGGAUGAGCCCAGAUGGGCUUAGCUAGUAUGUGGGGGAACGGCUCACCUAGGCGACGAUCCCUAGCUGGUCUGAGAGGAUGACCAGCCACACGGGAACUGAUGCACGGUCCAGACUCCCACGGGAGGCAGCAGUGGGGAAUAUGGCACAAGGGGCGCAAGCCGGAUGCAGCCAUGCCGCGUGUAUGAAGAAGGCCUUCGGGUUGUAAAGUUCUUUCAGCGGGGAGGCGUUACCCGCAGAAGAAGCACCGGCUAACUCCGUGCCAGCAGCCGCGGUAAUUC
rnacentral:rRNA from 1 species